rnacentral:lncRNA from 1 species
CACCACGCCCAGCUAAUUUUUUGUAUUUUUAGUAGAGAUAGGGUUUCACCGUGUUAGCCAAGAUGGUCUCGACCUCCUGACCUCGUGAUCUGCCCACCUCAGCUUCCCAAAGUUGGAGUUGUUCUUAAACUGUUUUUACUCUUCCCUGCAGACACCAUCAUCCGAGCAGUAUUGAUUUUUGCAGAAGGAAUUUUUACAGGUGAAAGCCACGUGGUACAUCCCAGCAUUCACAACCUCUCCAGUUCCAUCUGCAUCCCUAUUGUGCCUCCCAAAGAUGUCCCUGUGGAUCUGCACUUGAAGGCAUUCGUGGGUUACAGAAGCAGCACCCAGUUUCAUGUAUUUGAAUCGACAAGACAGCUCCCUCGAUUCUCCAUGUAUGCGCUGACCAGCCUGGACCCUGCCAGUGAGCCAAUCAGUUAUGUUAACUUUACCAUUGCAGAACGGG